AGUGAACGCUGGCGGUAGGCCUAACACAUGCAAGUCGAACGGCAGCACAGUAAGAGCUUGCUCUUACGGGUGGCGAGUGGCGGACGGGUGAGGAAUACAUCGGAAUCUACUUUUUCGUGGGGGAUAACGUAGGGAAACUUACGCUAAUACCGCAUACGACCUACGGGUGAAAGCAGGGGAUCUUCGCACCUUGCGCGACUGAAUGAGCUGAUGUCGGAUUAGCUAGUUGGGGGGGUAAAGGCCCACCAAGGCAACGAUCCGUAGCUGGUCUGAGAGGAUGAUCAGCCACACUGGAACUGAGACACGGUCCAGACUCCUACGGGAGGCAGCAGUGGGGAAUAUUGGACAAUGGGCGCAAGCCUGAUCCAGCCAUACCGCGUGGGUGAAGAAGGCCUUCGGGUUGUAAAGCCCUUUUGUUGGGAAAGAAAAGCAGCAGGUUAAUACCCCGCUGUUCUGACGGUACCCAAAGAAUAAGCACCGGCUAACUUCGUG
rnacentral:rRNA from 1 species